rfam:Arabidopsis lyrata subsp. lyrata unplaced genomic scaffold ARALYscaffold_7, whole genome shotgun sequence.
CUAAUGUUUCUUGCUUAAAUGAGUAUUCCAUGUAAAAAAUGAGUCACUCACUCAUAUGGGUGGGUUGGGUUGGUUUUCUCUUCAUGAGAUGCUCAUUUGAGCAAGCAAUGUCUG